rnacentral:rRNA from 1 species
AGUGAACGCUGGCGGUAGGCCUAACACAUGCAAGUCGAACGGCAGCACAGUAAGAGCUUGCUCUUACGGGUGGCGAGUGGCGGACGGGUGAGGAAUACAUCGGAAUCUACUUUUUCGUGGGGGAUAACGUAGGGAAACUUACGCUAAUACCGCAUACGACCUACGGGUGAAAGCAGGGGAUCUUCGGCCCUCGCGCGAUUGAAGGAGCCGAUGUCGGAUUAGCUAGUUGGCGGGGUAAAGGCCCACCAAGGCGACGAUCCGUAGCUGGUCUGAGAGGAUGAUCAGCCACACUGGAACUGAGACACGGUCCAGACUCCUACGGGAGGCAGCAGUGGGGAAUAUUGGACAAUGGGCGCAAGCCUGAUCCAGCCAUACCGCGUGGGUGAAGAAGGCCUUCGGGUUGUAAAGCCCUUUUGUUGGGAAAGAAAAGCAGCAGGUUAAUACCCCGCUGUUCUGACGUUACCCAAAGAAUAAGCACCGGCUAACUUCGUG